CGUGUAGGCGGUUAGCCAAGUCUGGUGUGAAAGCCCGGGGCUCAGCCCCGGAAGUGCAUCGGAAACUAGUUAGCUGGAGCGCGAUAGAGGAGGGUGGAAUUCCUGGUGUAGCGGUGAAAUGCGUAGAUAUCAGGAGGAACACCGGCGGCGAAGGCGGCCCUCUGGAUCGUUGCUGACGCUGAGACGCGAAAGCGUGGGGAGCAAACA
rnacentral:rRNA from 1 species